ensembl:lncRNA
UUUUAUUUGCAUUUGUUGUUAUGAGAUAUGGCAAAAACAUUUGGCAUUGAAUGGGGAAACAUAAUCCAUCAAAUUAUAAACAUAUUGAUGUUACAAAAAUGGACUAAUCUGGGCACUGGUUUGUCUCUUAACAAAUCGCUGUGUCACAAAUCUCGACUGGGUCGUGCCAUGGGUAUCAGCCCCAUGCCUGAUGAUGUUCCUGCUGAUUGUGAUGAAUGUUAUCUGCUCUUCCAAGAAUGCUGGGCCAUUAUGGGAGGCCAUUAUGGGAGGCGUAACCUACGAGCGGCGGUAAUAAACAGAAUCUCUCUCGGCUGUGCGGAGGUAUACAGUCUGGCACUCAGGCCAACAGCACACACAUCGCCUCACGCCUCACAGUUGCCCCAGAGACACUGUUUGGCUGUUCACUCAUUUGUUUAUGGGCUUUUGAUCGAUGCGUCCAUCCAGAUCCUCUUAAUCAGUUUCUGAUCUGGUUUCUCCCUGGCUCUCUCCAAGAAGACAAUCACAUUCAGAGAUUCAGAGUGUUUAAUAGUCACGGGUUCAGGGGUUUCAGGUGUGAUUGCAGGCUACAGUGAAAAUCUUCAGCUCCACAUUAGUCAUUAGUCAGUUAUUCAGGCUCCACAUUAGUCAGUUACAGAGACCAGGAGCAGAGCUGUCUGUUGGUGUUGGGUAAAGGCCCAGUACAGAGACCAGGAGCAGAGCUGUCUGUUGGUGUUGGGUAAAGGCCCAUUACAGAGACCAGGAGCAGAGCUGUCUGUUGGUGUUGGGUAAAGGCCCAGUUACAGAGAACACGAGCAGAGCUGUCUGUUGGUGUUGGGUAAAGGCCCAGUUACAGAGAACACGAGCAGUGCUGUCUGUUGGUGUUGGGUAAAGGCUGUUAAAUAAAGGUUAAAUAAAAGCAAUUUAAAAAAAUAAAUUUAAAAGCCCAGUACAGAGGAGAUCCAGCUCAUAAUCAACCCUCUCCAGAGACUCAGAGUCCAGCAUAAUAUGUUUAAAAGUAUUGCUUGGUUGUAAGUACAGACGAUGCUAAAGGGUAUGUGUACAGUGUGACCUGUUUGGCCAUGCCACCAGCCCAGCGCCUCAUC